rnacentral:rRNA from 1 species
CUCUGUGACUCCUACGGGAGGCAGCAGUGGGAAUAUUGCACAAUGGGCGCAAGCCUGAUGCAGCAACGCCGCGUGAGUGAUGAAGGCCUUCGGGUCGUAAAGCUCUGUCCUCAAGGAAGAAUAAAUGACGGUACUUGAGGAGGAAGCCCCCGGCUAACUACGUGCCAGCAGCCGCGGUAAUACGGUAGGGGCAAGCGUUAUCCGGAAUCACUGGGCGUAAAGGGUGCGUAGGCGGUUUUCAAGUCAGAAGUGAAAGGCUAUGGCUCAACCAUAGUAAGCUUUUGAAACUGUUAAACUUGAGUGCAGGAGAGGAAAGUGGAAUUCCUAGUGUAGAGGUGAAAUUCGUAGAUAUUAGGAGGAACACCAGUGGCGAAGGCGACUUUCUGGACUGUAACUGACGCUGAGGCACGAAAGCGUGGGGAGCGAACAGGAUUAGAUACCCUGGUAG